CAGAUGCUUGGCAAAGGGGUGGGUGGGGGGGUUGUUUGUUCCUCUAGUUAAUAUUUAAUUUAGGAGGGGCUGUGUUGAAGUACAGGGUCAGGGGGGAAGGUCCUGCUCUGGACUGAGCAGGUGCUGAGCUACAGAACACCUCUCAGGCUCUGACAUAGGGCUGGGACAGCUAGGGAGCUCUCUGGUCCACUCAGGUUGCUGGUGGGUUUAGGUAGUGUCCACAUGCCACUUGAGGUGUCCUACCUGUUCUCUGUUCCACCUAUUCCUGGGCCAUGUGGUGGAGUUGCUGUGGAUCCCUCGUCUCGGGAAGAAGGUGCCAACCAGAGUGCUGACAAUGGCCCUUGGUCAGGGCAGGCCCAAGCCUUUUGAGGGCCCAAGGUGAGAUUUUUUUUUUAAGUUGACAAAUGAAUUUCCUGUAAUUCUAUGCAUUUUGCCAUGCUAAUAUGAUAUCUGAGUGAGAGUGACUAACAAAAUCAAUGGGGGCCCCUGGAGGUCAGGGCCCCUGGGUAAUUUGGUUUGAUUACUACAAGGUUUAGAUAGCUGGUUAGACUAAUUUACCAAUCCAUUUUUAUUUUGCUGACAUAGACUAAUUGAGUGAAUGUAAGUGACUGACAUAACAAGAGAGAAACUGAUGAUGCACAACCAAUUUCCAAAAUGGCACCUUAUGUAUUCUACUUACUCUCAGCACAUUUUUUUAAUGUGUUUUUGUCUUUAUUUGUUUUUAGGUCAGGAGUCACUAAUCGACCGCUUAUUACUUAUGCCCAGGGCCGGCCCUGCCCUUGUUAAUGGUUUCACUGCCCAAGCCUGUGAUUGCAUCCCUGCCUACCUCUGUCCCCCAUGCUCAGUAACUGGAAUCUGUCCCUGCAGACACACUGUAGAGCAGGGCCGGCUGGUUACUGCGCCCUGGGGUCAGGCUGCUCACCCUGGCUGCUCACGCUUUUAGAGGACUCACUGGGGAGUUAUAUGUACUGUAUAUAGUUUGCAUGUGGGAGUUUUUUGUUUGUAUAGCUAUAUCACUUACUGCAUAUCAGCAUUUGGACUCACAUCUGUAGUGGUAAGACAGGAGUGGCCGGCGUAGUGACAUUGAUUACAUUGUAAUGUGUAAUACAAUACCUCAUGGUGGAUCCAUGAGGUGAACCAGUGAACAUCACAUUUAGAUUUGAAUCAUUUAGCAGAUGCUCUUGUCAAGAGUGACUUACAGGUAGCUAGGUGGGACAACCACAUAUCACAAGUAGCUAUCAGUAGAGUCAGUGCUAAAGAAGGGGGGGGGGGUUAUUUAAGAGUGUUUGAAGAGGAAGGGUUUCAGAUGUUUUCGGAAGUUGGGCAGGGUAUGUAUGUGUGAACCACACAACACUUGCAAAUAAAGGACCAUCAACUCCAUUUCCACGCAACACUUGCAAAUAAAGGACCAUCAACUCCAUUUCCACGCAACACUUGCAAAUAAAGGACCAUCAACUCCAUUUUAUGUCUGGACAUGACCUUAUUAUUAUUAUUGAACAUAUGGGCAAUUACAGCUGUUUUUCCAACAAGUUGCACUUCUAACUGGUUUUGUUGUAGUCCUGGGAUACUAUUUCCUACUUUGUUUAUUUAGCAGUGUGAAUGUUGACCUAGAGCAGAGCUGGUGUAAGUCUGGGGAGGGGGAAGAAGGGGGAGGGGAGAGAAGGGCCAGGUGUGAUGGUGUCAGGACUCGUCAGGAGGUGCUGACUGUGGAGCCUGUAUGGUGUCACCUUCCACACCUUCAGAGGUGAGCAGCAGGACCUGUAGCUGCAGCUGUAGAAACAUCCUGCCAAAGAGGAGACACCCUCAAGACAAAGGCCCUACUGAGGAGACAGCAUCUACAAACAACCAAAACAUCAUCACAAACACUUCCUUCAGCAGGCAAGUGAGGCCAUGCCGUUUCCCAACAGUAGCUCAGUGUUAGGUUUGUCCACUAGGAGGCGAGAGGGAGACAUGUUUAUAGUGCAGGUGUGGUCAGACUAAAUUCUCCAAUGACCUCAAUGCUGUCGGAUGCUCUUCCAUAAUGAUUGUAAGGGAUUGUAAAAGUAAACAAAACAAUUGUGGCAGUGAACAUGAUUCUUCAGCUCCAUAAAGUUGAUUGUUGAUUUUUUUUCUCAUUUUAAAUAAUAAGUGUCUGUGCAAACUUUUACUGUGUAUUAAUAAGUGCAUGUGUGCAUGAUGAAAUAAAUACGUGGUACUCCUUUGUCACCAAA